GACGAACGCUGGCGGCGUGCUUAACACAUGCAAGUCGAACGGAAAGGCCCUGCUUUUGUGGGGUGCUCGAGUGGCGAACGGGUGAGUAAAACGUGAGUAACCUGCCCUUGACUUUGGGAUAACUUCAGGAAACUGGGGCUAAUACCGGAUAGGAGCUCCUGCUGCAUGGGGGGGGUUGGAAAGUUUCGGCGGUUGGGGAUGGACUCGCGGCUUAUCAGCUUGUUGGUGGGGUAGUGACUUACCAAGGCUUUGACGGGUAGCCGGCCUGAGAGGGUGACCGGCCACAUAGGGACUGGGGUACGGCCCGGAGGGCUACGGGAGGCAGCGGUGGGGAAUAGUGCGCGAAGGGCGGAAGCAUGAUGGAGCGACGCCGGGUGGGGGAAGACGGCCUUCGGGUUGUAAACCGCUUUCGCCUGUGACGAAGCGUGAGUGACGGUAAUGGGUAAAGAAGCACCGGCUAAUUACGG
rnacentral:rRNA from 1 species